GCAAGUCGAACGGUAACAGAAGCAGCUUUCUGCUUGCUGACGAGUGGCGUACGGGUGAGUAAUAGAUAGAUAAUGUGCCUCUUAGUCUGGGAUAGCCAUUGGAAACGAUGAUUAAUACUAGAUACUCCUUCUUAUUCUAAUGUAAGUUGGGAAAGUUUUUCGCUAAGAGAUCAGUCUAUCUCCCAUCAGUUAGUUGGUAAGGUAACAGCUUACCAAGGCAAUGACGGGUAGCGGGUUUGAGAGGAUGAUC
rnacentral:rRNA from 1 species